rnacentral:rRNA from 1 species
CCUACGGGAGGCAGCAGUAGGGAAUCUUCCGCAAUGGACGAAAGUCUGACGGAGCAACGCCGCGUGAACGAUGAAGGCCUUCGGGUCGUAAAGUUCUGUUGUUAGGGAAGAACAAGUGCUAGUUGAAUAAGCUGGCACCUUGACGGUACCUAACCAGAAAGCCACGGCUAACUACGUGCCAGCAGCCGCGGUAAUACGUAGGUGGCAAGCGUUGUCCGGAAUUAUUGGGCGUAAAGCGCGCGCAGGCGGUUUCUUAAGUCUGAUGUGAAAGCCCCCGGCUCAACCGGGGAGGGUCAUUGGAAACUGGGAAACUUGAGUGCAGAAGAGGAAAGUGGAAUUCCAAGUGUAGCGGUGAAAUGCGUAGAGAUUUGGAGGAACACCAGUGGCGAAGGCGACUUUCUGGUCUGUAACUGACGCUGAGGCGCGAAAGCGUGGGGAGCAAACAGGAUUAGAUACCCUGGUAGUCCACGCUGUAAACGAUGAGUGCUAAGUGUUAGAGGGUUUCCGCCUUUAGUGCUGAAUUAACGCAUUAAGCACUCCGCCUGGGGAGUACGUCGCGAGACGAGUAACGUUAAAGUAAAGUUAGUUACGGUCGUUGAGACGUUGCCGACGGACGACGACGAGGGAGGAGG